rnacentral:pre_miRNA from 1 species
CAUCAUCAUCACUGAUAACGUCACCGGUGACGUCACUGAUGACGUCACCGGCAUCCGCAUCGUCAUGGUCAUCAUCACUGAUGACGUCAUCAGUGACGUCACUGGUGACGUUAUCAGUGAUGAUGAUGA